rnacentral:misc_RNA from 1 species
AACGCACGAGACCUGCGGACCUGCGGAGGGAUCAUUAACGAGUGAGGGUCUCCUAGGCCCGACCUCCCAACCCUAUGUUUACUACACCUAUGUUGCUUCGGCGGGCCCGUCUUCACGACCGCCGGGGGGCUGCAACAUGCCCUCUGGCCCGCGCCUGCCGGUGGCCAAACUUUACAAAUUCUGCUUUAAACCGUGUCACGUGUCUGAGUCUUAUUCUUAAUUAAAGCAAAAACUUUUAAC